AGGACGAACGCUGGCGGCGUGCUUAACACAUGCAAGUCGAGCGGAAAGGCCCUUCGGGGUACUCGAGCGGCGAACGGGUGAGUAACACGUGAGUAAUCUGCCCCUAUGCUCUGGGAUAGCUCCGGGAAACCGGGAUUAAUACCAGAUACGACCACUUUAGACAUCUGUUGUGGUGGAAAGAAUUUUGGCUAGGGAUGAGCUCGCGGCCUAUCAGCUUGUUGGUGAGGUAACGGCUCACCAAGGCGACGACGGGUAGCCGGCCUGAGAGGGCGACCGGCCACACUGGGACUGAGACACGGCCCAGACUCCUACGGAGGCAGCAGUGGGGAAUAUUGCGCAAUGGGCGAAAGCCUGACGCAGCGACGCCGCGUGGGGGAUGAAGGCCUUCGGUUGUAAACCCUUUCAGCAGGACGAAGCGAAGUGACGGUACCUGCAGAAGAAGCGCCGGCUAACUACGCGCCAGCAGCCGC
rnacentral:rRNA from 1 species